AGCGAACGCUAGCGGCGGGCCUAACACAUGCAAGUCGAACGGAAGUAGCAAUACUUCAGUGGCGGACGGGUGAGUAACGCGUAGCUUAUGUACCUCCAGGUGGGGAAUAACCGUGGGAAACCAUGGCUAAUACCGCAUACGGCCCUUCGGGGUCAAAGCCUUCGGGCGCCAGGAGAGCAGGCUGCGUCCCAUUAUUUAGUCCUAGUUGGUAGGGUAACGGCCUACCAAGGGUACGAUGGUAGCUGUCNGAGAGGAUGAUCAGCCACACUGGAACUGAGACACGGUCCAGACUCCUACGGGAGGCAGCAGGUGGGAAUAUUGGACAAUGGGCGCAAGCCUGAUCCAGCAAUGCCGCGUGAGUGAUGAAG
rnacentral:rRNA from 1 species